rnacentral:lncRNA from 1 species
UCAGACAAGUUCAGCUCCGGCUUCUCAUGUCGAAGAUACAACCUCUCCUCCGUCGGUUCAUACUCCGGUCACUACAAUUCCUCUCAGCAAUCCGGCUCCACAGUUGUCAUCUCCAUCCCCGUGUUUAGAUCCUCACCAACAACCACAUCCUGCCUCGCCAUCAUCGCCUCAACAAUCUCAGGUAUCCUCUUCUUCCUCUGACUCUCCGUCACAUACUUCUUUUCCCUCUCAUUCUGAGCCCACUGUUCCAAAUCAAAAUGGGCCGCAACCCACGUCCCAGACACCUCACCAAACAAAUAAAGCCCAAAACCC